UCUUAGAUGACUGAGAUUUAAGUGCUAGACUUUUAAUCUAGAAACGGCUGACAUUAAAGCCUCUAAGAA
rnacentral:tRNA from 1 species